rnacentral:sRNA from 1 species
AGCAGCCGCGGUAAUUCCAGCUCCAAUAGCGUAUAUUAAAGUUGUUGCAGUUAAAAAGCUCGUAGUUGAAUUUCGGGAUUAAUUUACUGGUCGUGCUAUUGUACGUACUGGUUUUAUUGAUUCCUCCCUUCUGACGAACUAUGAUGUCAUUAAUUUGGUGUCAUAGGAAAUCAGGGCUGUUACUUUGAAAAAAUUAGAGUGUUUAAAGCAGGCUCACGCUUGAAUACAUUAGCAUGGAAUAACGGAAUAGGACGUUUGAUUCUAUUUUGUUGGUUUCUAGGAUCGACGUAAUGAUUAAUAGGGAUAGUUGGGGGCAUUAGUAUUCAAUUGUCAGAGGUGAAAUUCUUGGAUUUAUUGAAGACUAACUACUGCGAAAGCAUUUGCCAAGGAUGUUUUCAUUAAUCAAGAACGAAAGUUAGGGGAUCGAAGACGAUCAGAUACCGUCGUAGUCUUAACCAUAAACUAUGCCGACUAGGGAUCGGAUGAUGUUAAUUUUUUAAUGUACUCAUUCG